rnacentral:rRNA from 1 species
ACCUGGGGGCAGACUUAUCUAGAUAGUCGAGCGGUAUACGAGGAGCUUGCUCCCUGGUGGCGAGCGGCGGACGGGUGAGUAAUGCAUAGGAAUCUGCCCGGUAGUGGGGGAUAACCUGGGGAAACCCAGGCUAAUACCGCAUACGCCCUACGGGGGAAAGCAGGGGCUCUUCGGACCUUGCGCUAUCGGAUGAGCCUAUGUCGGAUUAGCUGGUUGGUGAGGUAAUGGCUCACCAAGGCGACGAUCCGUAGCUGGUCUGAGAGGAUGAUCAGCCACAUCGGGACUGAGACACGGCCCGAACUCCUACGGGAGGCAGCAGUGGGGAAUAUUGGACAAUGGGCGCAAGCCUGAUCCAGCCAUGCCGCGUGUGUGAAGAAGGCCUUCGGGUUGUAAAGCACUUUCAGUGGGGAAGAAAGCCUUCCGGCGAAUACCCGGGAGGAAGGACAUCACCCACAGAAGAAGCACCGGCUAACUCCGUGCCAGCAGCCGCGGUAAUACGGAGGGUGCGAGCGUUAAUCGGAAUUACUGGGCGUAAAGCGCGCGUAGGUGGCUUGAUAAGCCGGUUGUGAAAGCCCCGGGCUCAACCUGGGAACGGCAUCCGGAACUGUCAGGCUAGAGUGCAGGAGAGGAAGGUAGAAUUCCCGGUGUAGCGGUGAAAUGCGUAGAGAUCGGGAGGAAUACCAGUGGCGAAGGCGGCCUUCUGGACUGACACUGACACUGAGGUGCGAAAGCGUGGGUAGCAAACAGGAUUAGAUACCCUGGUAGUCCACGCCGUAAACGAUGUCGACUAGCCGUUGGGUCCUUCGCGGACUUUGUGGCGCAGUUAACGCGAUAAGUCGACCGCCUGGGGAGUACGGCCGCAAGGUUAAAACUCAAAUGAAUUGACGGGGGCCCGCACAAGCGGUGGAGCAUGUGGUUUAAUUCGAUGCAACGCGAAGAACCUUACCUACCCUUGACAUCCUCGGAAUCUGCCGGAGACGGCGGAGUGCCUUCGGGAACCGAGUGACAGGUGCUGCAUGGCUGUCGUCAGCUCGUGUUGUGAAAUGUUGGGUUAAGUCCCGUAACGAGCGCAACCCUUGUCCUUAUUUGCCAGCGAGUAAAGUCGGGAACUCUAAGGAGACUGCCGGUGACAAACCGGAGGAAGGUGGGGACGACGUCAAGUCAUCAUGGCCCUUACGGGUAGGGCUACACACGUGCUACAAUGGCCGGUACAAAGGGUUGCAAGCUCGCGAGGGCAAGCUAAUCCCAGAAAGCCGGUCUCAGUCCGGAUCGGAGUCUGCAACUCGACUCCGUGAAGUCGGAAUCGCUAGUAAUCGUGAAUCAGAAUGUCACGGUGAAUACGUUCCCGGGCCUUGUACACACCGCCCGUCACACCAUGGGAGUGGACUGCACCAGAAGUGGUUAGCCUAACCUUCGGGAGGGCGAUCACCACGGGUGGGUCCCAG